UGGAAGCCAUGUGAACCACAUCUUUCCCAA
rnacentral:piRNA from 1 species